GACGAACGCUGGCGGCGUGCCUAAUACAUGCAAGUCGAGCGGACUUUAUCCUUCGGGGUAAGGUUAGCGGCGGACGGGUGAGUAACACGUAGGCAACCUGCCUGUAAGACCGGGAUAACAUUCGGAAACGGAUGCUAAUACCGGAUAUGCAACUUGGCUGCAUGGCUGAGUUGGGAAAGACGGCGCAAGCUGUCACUUACAGAUGGGCCUGCGGUGCAUUAGCUAGUUGGUGAGGUAACGGCUCACCAAGGCGACGAUGCAUAUCCGACCUGAGAGGGUGAUCGGCCACACUGGGACUGAGACACGGCCCAGACUCCUACGGGAGGCAGCAGUAGGGAAUCUUCCGCAAUGGACGAUAGUCUGACGGAGCAACGCCGCGUGAGUGAUGAAGGUUUUCGGAUCGUAAAGCUCUGUUGCCAGGGAAGAACAGCCAGGAGAGUAACUGCUCUUGGAAUGACGGUACCUGAGAAGAAAGCCCCGGCUAACUACGUGCCAGCCGCCGCUGUAA
rnacentral:rRNA from 1 species